AGGGAUGACUGGUGACAGAGUGAGGGAAUGACUGGUGACAGAGUGAGAGAGGGGGUGACUAGUGACCGAGUGAGGGAGCGAGUGGGUGACUAGUGACAGAGUGAGGAAGGGGGUGACACAGUGAUAGUCACCCCAUUCCUCCCUCUGUCACUAAUCACCACCUCCCUCACUCUCACUAGUCACCCCUUCCCUCUCUCACUCUGUCACUAGUCACACCCUCCCUCUCUCUGUCACUAGUCACACCCU